rnacentral:piRNA from 1 species
UACUCGGUAAAAAAAAACUGU